UACGGGGGGGGGCAAGCGUUGUUCGGAAUUACUGGGCGUAAAGGGCUCGUAGGUGGCCAACUAAGUCAGACGUGAAAUCCCUCGGCUUAACCGGGGAACUGCGUCUGAUACUGGAUGGCUUGAGUUUGGGAGAGGGACGCGGAAUUCCAGGUGUAGCGGUGAAAUGCGUAGAUAUCUGGAGGAACACCGGUGGCGAAGGCGGCGUUCUGGACUGCAACUGACACUGAGGAGCGAAAGCCAGGGGAGCAAACGGG
rnacentral:rRNA from 1 species